rnacentral:misc_RNA from 1 species
AAGACUAUAGACCUGCGGAGUACCUGCGGAGGGAUCAUUACCGAGUAUCGGGUGCUCUCGCGCCCUACUCCCACCCUAUGCUUAUCUAUAACUGUUGCUUUGGCGGGCCGGUGGGUCACUCACCGCCGGGCGGCGCCUGGAGAGCGCCCGCCAGAGGACCAAGCAAAACUCUUUAGUCAACAUGUCGCAUCUGAGCACGCGAGAAUGAACAAAACUUUUAGCAAUGGAUCUCUAGAUCGG